rnacentral:rRNA from 1 species
CCCAGACUCCUACGGGAGGCAGCAGUGGGGAAUAUUGCACAAUGGGGGAAACCCUGAUGCAGCGACGCCGCGUGAGCGAAGAAGUAUUUCGGUAUGUAAAGCUCUAUCAGCAGGGAAGAAAAAAAUGACGGUACCUGAGUAAGAAGCACCGGCUAAAUACGUGCCAGCAGCCGCGGUAAUACGUAUGGUGCAAGCGUUAUCCGGAUUUACUGGGUGUAAAGGGAGCGUAGGCGGCAGGGCAAGCCUGAUGUGAAAGCCCGGGGCUCAACCCCGGGACUGCAUUGGGAACUGCCCCGCUCGAGUGCCGGAGGGGCAGGCGGAAUUCCUAGUGUAGCGGUGAAAUGCGUAGAUAUUAGGAGGAACACCAGUGGCGAAGGCGGCCUGCUGGACGGUGUACUGACGCUGAGGCUCGAAAGCGUGGGGAGCAAACAGGAUUAGAUACCCCCGCAGUC